UACGAAGGGGGCUAGCGUUGUUCGGAAUUACUGGGCGUAAAGCGCGUGUAGGCGGUUCUUUAAGUCAGGGGUGAAAUGCCAAGGCUCAACCUUGGAACUGCCUUUGAUACUGGAGACCUUGAGUCCGGGAGAGGUGAGUGGAAUUGCGAGUGUAGAGGUGAAAUUCGUAGAUAUUCGCAAGAACACCAGUGGCGAAGGCGGCUCACUGGCCCGGAACUGAUGCUGAGACGCGAAAGCGUGGGGAGCAAACAGG
rnacentral:rRNA from 1 species